GAACCUAGUCGACGUUGAGGUGGACAAUACCAUGAAAUUCAUAAUUAUUUUGUCUGUCGUCACUUUCUUACUUAGCCAAAGGGCAUUUGGCUAUCAUGAAACCCAUUCGGAAAGAUGUGAGGAAGAAGUCAACUCCUCUGAAGUAGAAUGUGAUUAUAAAAGAGAAUAUACAUAUUCACAUUAUACUAAGGACUGCCAAAUAUUCGUAUUUUGCGAAGCCGAUGACAACCACAAUAAAAAAAACAGGUUUAAGACUAAAGCUGAAUGCCAUAUGGCCUGUCUAGGACACCUGAACAAAUUUUCAUUAGAUGAACCCUGGACAGAAGAACAAACUCUAGAAUCUAAUCGAUUUAUGGCAACUGCAGUUUACACCUAGUAAUUUGGCAAUCAAGAUGACACAAUUAAAAUUGAAACCCAGUCUCUGAUAAAUUAUGUCAAAGUUCUAUUGCUAGAAUGGCAAAUAAAUAACAUUUUCAAUUGUGUAUUUAAUAAAAAUAUUUUCAUUAAAGCUUAA